CAUGUUUCGGUGAGUUGUCGAGCUUCGCGCGUUAUGUCGAAGUAAAUUUUACAAAUGAAAUACUCAUAAACAGUAAUCAUUAAGACAUAUCGCGAUGAGUAUAGAAGGAAUAAUAACUUUUGAUGGGCCAUACACAGCAGACAAAUACAAUCAAUUUUUUAAUCCAAACGUUUGUCAUGUUUGCAAACUGCCCAGUAAAAAUUUAAUACCAUGUAAUCAGUGCUAUAUGAUUUUUUAUUGUUCUGAAAACCAUGAAAGGAUACAUAAAGACUCACAUCUGAAUUUCUGCAGAAAUUUAGCAAAAAUAAUAGACAAAUCGGAUUGGAAUUUAUGUGAAGAUUUAACAAAAUGGUUAAGUUCACGGACGAAAAUUAUAACAAAAAUGACUGUGCGCAAAAUGAUCAAAGAUAGUAUAGAUAUAAAUCUAAUUAUUGUGAUGAUCACCAAAUGUUAUUUAAUCUGGAACACAAAAAUAUCUGUAAAGAGCUGUUACUAGUAUUGAACAUUAAUAUCGCCUGUAUGAAAAGCAAUCUUUUGCAUUUAUGUCUAAGAAAACUGGAGUUUACCAAAUUUCCUGAUGCUAGACCCUAUCAUAACAUGAUUACAUUUAUUAACAGGUAUUUAGUCAUGGAAGAACUAGAUAAUAAUAAAAAAAAACUUUACUCUCCUAUCCAAACUUUCUGGUCAUUUGAACAUUAUAUAUGUUCAGAUUAUGUAACCAAUCCUUUGACAUUACACUACGCGUUACAGGAAUCAAAUUUAUUAUGUCUUCCACAAAGUUCUUACAAAUUUAUCAUCCAUAUUAUAGAAUCAACUAAAAUAGAUGUAAUGUGUUUAAAAGUUUGGCAUAUUUUCCUACAUCUCUUUUCUAAUAUAAAAGAAUUAUAUAUUGUAUUUAUAGAAUCGCAUAUAUUCGAAUCGCGCGAACUAGGGACUGUUUGUUCAAGGUGCCGUAAAUAUAAUCAGAAGCUUUAUGUUGAAAAUGUAUCAGAGCCGUACCACAGUUAUGCGCGCUUAAAGUCAUUUAAACAACCAAAUGUGAUCAUAAUACUGGACAAAAAUUUGUCUUCGUUUGGAACAUGGUAUACAUCUAUUCCAACAAUAAUAGCACAAAAAUGUCCGUUACUUUUAACCGUUUUUAAUGAAGAUAAAAUGAGAUACAAUAUAAAAGAGAUAGAAAAAGUAACAGAUAUAACCAGAAAUCCAUUAUACAGAAAAAAUAAAUUCUGCGGUUGUAGGCCAUAUCAUAUCUGUGCUGCUGGUAGAUUAUAUUACCGAAAUUCGCAUUUUUUUAUGUAUUUAUGAUUUUAAAUCACAUAACCGAUUCAAUCAAAUUCUGAAGAUCAGGUGUUAUUAUUAUAGUUAGUUAUUUUAUUAUUAUUAUGUUAGCUUUUUAGUUAGUUAUUUUAUUGUUUUUUUUUAAUGAAACAUUCAGGAAACUAUUAGUUUAUCAAUGAUAUUUUAAACUUAGAUUUCAACUUGAACUUUGUUUAAACAAAACAAACGCGUUGUUAGAAUAGAGUUUAAUCUUGAAUCAAGUUUAAACUGCGAAAUCCAUGUUUAAAUUGAGAAACCGGCCUUCAGUGUCGUACGAGUUAUUAUCGAUUAUGGUAAAUUGAAUAACCAUAAUCGCUAAUGAAAUAAUCUUCUUUAAUAGUAUACAUUCUUUAGUAAAUAUAUAUUAUGAUCCUUUCCCGUUUUUCUGUAAAAGUGUAGCACAUAUACAAUUUGUCUCAAUAUUUUUUGAGCAUUUUGUCAAUGCAUUUCUGAAUAUAGCCAAUGAUUAUAUGAGAGUACUCAAAUUCUAGGAAUUAGUGAAAAUUUUCGACCAUAAAUUUUUAUAUUAGACGAUUGGCUAUGUUCUAAAAUGCAUCGUAGAAAAAGAAUUAAAACUGUAUUGAAAUAAGUUGUAUGAAUGACUGUAUAGAUGUUUAAAUAAAAAAUCCAAAUAUUUUUAUAUUACAGUUAAAAUAUAA